rnacentral:rRNA from 1 species
AUACGGAGGAUGCGAGCGUUAUCCGGAUUUAUUGGGUUUAAAGGGAGCGUAGGCGGGAGCUUAAGUCAGCGGUUAAAUGGUGCGGCUCAACCGUGCCCUGCCGUUGAAACUGGGUUUCUUGAGAGUGCAAGAGGCGGAUGGAAUUCAUGGUGUAGCGGUGAAAUGCUUAGAUAUCAUGAAGAACUCCGAUUGCGAAGGCAGUCCGCUGGGGCACGACUGACGCUGAUGCUCGAAGGUGCGGGAAUCAAACAGGAUUAGAUACCCUGGUAGUCCGCACGGUAAACGAUGAUUACCCGCUGUCGGCGGUAGACAGUCGGCGGCCAAGCGAAAGCGAUAAGUAAUCCACCUGGGGAGUACGCCGGCAACGGUGAAACUCAAAUGAAUUGGCGGGG